GGAUCUCAUUAAAGUCACCUAUACAUAGCCAAGGUGACGUGUUGGUGCAUGCUAUCUGCUGAAGUGCUGUCCAAAAGAGUUGGCGAGGGUGAUACGCAGCAGGUGCAUGAACACAGAUGGUGUCAUCGGGACCUGUUGAGCAGAGUAUUCUGUAGGAGGAAUAGAGGGCUUGUGACAAUUCCAAUUCGGUGCAGCAGAGGGCAACAGAUUUGGGUUCACAGGAGGUGGUGGAGGAGUCUCGGGAUACUCUCGGUGUCAUUAACUUGUUGUUUCUCGUAGAAUGCUUUCCAAUAUGGGCUGAAUUCGUUUACCUCUGCCUUCAACCACUGACCAUAAGACAUUUUCUCUUUUCCUUCCAUUUUUGCUUCAGUAAAAGGUAUAUCUUUACAGUAGGUUGCAUAAUGACCAAUUAUGCCGCAGGAAUAGCAGAAGCGUGGAAGUCGUUCGUACCUAAAAUCCAUCCAAAUUGGCUGCCGCGCAAUGCGAAUAAGUUGCCCAGUUUUUAGUGGUUCACUCAGGUUAAUUUCUACACGCGCCUUAGCAGUUUUAACCAUAGCUCCCUCUGUAUUUUGCAGCUUAACAUCCAACACCUUACCCACAUUUUUCACAGCUCUAGCAACCAUGUCUUCGGAGUACCAUUCAAGCGGAAAACCAUAUAUAUGGACCCAAAAUGGACAGGUUGAAAAAUCGUAACAGUGCAAUGGUGUAUUCUGAAGCCAUGGUUUAAAGAUAACCAAGUUGCCAGAAAAGAGCCAAGGUGGCAUGUCGUCCCAGUCUUCGAUGCCUUGCUGAUUCCACAACCGACCCAUUCGGUGGCACAAGGCAGUCAAGCGCGGGUCUUGGGACUCAUCGAAGUGGGCCAUCUGAGUACUAUUUGUGAAGAGAGACAGGCAAUCGGAAGAGAAGGCAAUUCAGAUUGAAGCAAUCCAGUGCAAAUCAAGUCCAUGCAUGAACUGAAAAGGGGUUCGGUAUCCAGGAAAGCAGCGAGAUGAAGAGAUGUGGUUCGCAAGACAGAGCUUCAUUACUAGACAGCUCCAACGACGGCAAAUAUGAAGGUCGAAGAAUCAGGUGGGAGAAAGAAGGGUUUUAGGGAUUGUACGAAUGGCGAAACAACCAAAGAGAGUUGUUUAAUUUUGCCAUGCAUGCGCAAUGAGCGGGUGAAUUGGGAAAUUAGGGCAUCUCAAACUGUAAACUACCAUAGCGGUAGAAAGCACUCUGCAUAUCGAGAGAAAG